rnacentral:rRNA from 1 species
CCCGCAACGAGCCCCACCCUUAUCCUUUGUUGCCAGCGGUUCGGCCGGGAACUCACAGGAGACUGCCAGUGAUAAACUGGAGGAAGGUGGUCAUGACGUCAAGUCAUCAUGGCCCUUACGAGUAGGGCUACACACGUGCUACAAUGGCGCAUACAAAGAGAAGCGACCUCGCGAGAGCAAGCGGACCUCAUAAAGUGCGUCGUAGUCCGGAUCGGAGUCUGCAACUCGACUCCUUGAAGUCGGAAUCGCUAGUAAUCGUAGAUCAGAAUGCUACGGUGAAUACGUU